GAUGAACGCUGGCGGCGUGCCUAAUACAUGCAAGUCGAGCGAACAGAUGAGGAGCUUGCUCCUCUGACGUUAGCGGCGGACGGGUGAGUAACACGUGGAUAACCUACCUAUAAGACUGGGAUAACUUCGGGAAACCGGAGCUAAUACCGGAUAAUAUAUUGAACCGCAUGGUUCCAUAGUGAAAGACGGUUUUGCUGUUACUUAUAGAUGGAUCCGCGCCGCAUUAGCUAGUUGGUAAGGUAACGGCUUACCAAGGCAACGAUGCGUAGCCGACCUGAGAGGGUGAUCGGCCACACUGGAACUGAGACACGGUCCAGACUCCUACGGGAGGCAGCAGUAGGGAAUCUUCCGCAAUGGGCGAAAGCCUGACGGAGCAACGCCGCGUGAGUGAUGAAGGUCUUCGGAUCGUAAAACUCUGUUAUUAGGGAAGAACAAAUGUGUAAGUAACUAUGCACGUCUUGACGGUACCUAAUCAGAAAGCCACGGCUAACUACGUG
rnacentral:rRNA from 1 species